rnacentral:misc_RNA from 1 species
AUCAAACUCUGUUGUUCGGGGAAGGCUGCAGUUGCAACUUGCAGGCACCUCCUGCCUCCUAGGCUGUGAAAAAUUCGGUCACAGCAAAAGCACAUUAUCCUGUACCUCUCUUCCUCCUAACGUUCCUUCCUUGUCCCUGUCCCUGUUACUGACGCGUGUUCACCACCGUCUUCAAACCGAGCGUCGAAUACCUAAAACCCUCUCCCCUUUAUAUUCACCGCCAUUGGAUUACAGCAACCCAAUACCCGCCCUCCUAUCUGCACAGUUUUGUGGUAGGUACACUCCGGCGCUGGUGGGUUUUUGCUAUCCAUUUCAACCCCCUUCUUUUCUUCCUUUUUCUUUUCUACCUUAUAUACAAGAGUGGCCGAGAGUGAGAGCUCCCAAAUGGAGCCUCAAGUGGUGAAAAAGAGAGGUCGAAAACCCAAGCCCAAAGACGAGAAAGAUCAGCAACAGCAGAGUUCUGCCAAAAUGAAAGAGGGAAAGAAGAUUCAGCAACCUUCCGUCGACGACAAGUACACUCAGUGGAAGUCUUUGGUUCCUGUUCUCUAUGACUGGUUCUCUAACCAUAAUCUCAUUUGGCCUUCUCUCUCUUGCCGGUGGGGUCCACAGCUUGAGCAAGCUACUUACAAGAAUCGCCAACGUCUCUACCUUUCUGAGCAGACUGAUGGUAGUGUUCCAAAUACUUUGGUUAUUGCAAAUUGUGAAGUUGUCAAGCCUAGAGUUGCUGCUGCAGAGCACAUAUCUCAGGUGAUUUCUACCAUGUGAUGUGUUUUACUGUCUUGAUCUUGCAUGCUGCUUUUAGAUUCAUGAAAUUGUUCUUGUAACAUAAACUUUGAUUUGUUGUCUGGUGAUUGACUCUGUAGUUUAAUGAAGAAGCACGCUCUCCAUUUGUUAAGAAGUACAAGACCAUCAUACAUCCUGGAGAGGUGAACAGGAUCAGGGAACUUCCACAGAAUAGUAGAAUAGUGGCCACUCAUACUGACAACCCUAAUGUUCUCAUAUGGGAUGUUGAAGCACAGCCUAAUCGCCAUGCAGUUCUUGGAGCUACAAAUUCUCGUCCAGAUUUGGUAUAGCUUUCUCUGGGGCUUUUUCUUUAGAGAAAGGAAAGUUGAGGGCAUGAUUCCACUGUUUUUAUAUUUUAAAAUAACUAUUUGUGGAGGUUAUUGUAGCAUGUUACCAUGAUGAUGGGAGAAUAACAUUCGUGAAUGUAAAUGUAGAUGUGAAUCAUGUUUGCAACAAUCCGCUUUCCAAGAAACAUCUUUCAGUAGCAUGAUAUUUGAGGUGUUUUGGAGUGAGUAAUUUGCUUGCUUCUGAUAGGGCACUAGCCAUUUUAACCUGGAACUCAUUUUGCAGAUUUUGACUGGACAUCAAGAUAAUGCUGAAUUUGCUCUUGCAAUGUGCCCAACUGAACCCUUUGUGCUUUCUGGAGGUUGGAAAAUUACAAUUUACUACUAUAAAUAAUUGUAUGAAAUAGCUUAUUCGUCUUAUUCACAAAGUUUUCUUUAUUAUGUCUGUUGUAAUAAUGACACUUGAGUUCUGUUUAGUGCUGUAUUUCUGUAGCUGUGUUCUUAUUUUUGUUUCUACUUCCAGAUUGUCUUGUGUUAGAUUAACUGAAUGAUUCUUUGUGAAGGUUUUUUUUUCCCUAAGCAGAGAGAUUUUCAUUUCAGGGAAGGACAAAUCAGUAGUUUUGUGGAGUAUCCAGGACCAUAUAACAGCAUCUGCUACUGACCCAGCAACAGCGAAGUCUCCUGGAUCUGGAGGAUCAAUCAUUAAAAAGGCUGGGGAUGGCAAUGAUAAAGCUGCUGACAGUCCUGUGGGACCAAGAGGUAUCUACCGGGGGCAUGAGGAUACAGUAGAAGAUGUGACAUUCUGCCCAUCCAGGUAUCUUGCAUGAUCUUGUUGGUUCCCUUUGCAGUGGUUUCACCCACUUCUGGAAGCAAACUGCAUUUCACCUGCCACUUGAAAGAGCAUUGAAGUGAUGCUAUUAUAAAUUGACAAACACACUCAUAAUCAUUUGCUGUUUAUUGUCUUUUGUGGAUCAAGUAAUAGUUUGACUUUUCAUGUAAUUUUGAAUCAUGGAUGCUAGCCAUUCUUUCUGAUUAUAUGGCCUUGCGAAUACAUGGAGUCAUCAUAAGUCAUAACAUAUGGCAAUAGCUAUCAUUGUUGCUGAAAUAUCUGAGCAGACAAAAAAAAUCAUAUAUCUUACCCUUUUGCCAUUAUGGUUAUCUAUAGCUAUACUGUUAGAGAAUAAAUAAUUUAUUUGCAAUGUGCUCUGUUGUCCCUGACAAUUUUUAUUGCUGCUGAAGUGCACAGGAGUUCUGUAGUGUAGGAGAUGAUUCUUGCCUUAUAUUAUGGGAUGCUCGAGUUGGCUCUAGUCCAGCUGUCAAGGUUACAUGUCUCAUAUUUAUUUUCAUAGUAUCCUUAUUAAUGCUUGAAAUCACUUGUAAAAUUUCUCUUUGCUUGUGGGUGAAAAACCCUUUUUAUCUUAUCAUCUUGUUAAACCUUCAGUAAUACUCUAGUUGUGAAUUGUGUGUUUAUUUUUUAAGAUAGAACUCAGCUGAUGGUGAUAUAUGAUGGUUUUUGCCCCUUUUUCUGGUCAACAGGUUGAAAAGGCACACAAUGCUGAUCUUCACUGUGUUGAUUGGAAUCCUCAUGAUGAUAACCUUAUUUUAACUGGGUACGGUCCUAAUUUAUGUUUAUUCCAGUUGUCAUGUCUCUUUAAGCAGUGGGUGUGUGAUAGACUUUUAGGUUUGGUUAUACUCCUACUUAUUUUGUGGUUAUGUGGAGAUGAUGAAAAGUUUUAGAUGCUUUUACAUUUCUGUAAUUUCUCUCCAGGUCAGCAGAUAAUUCUGUUCGCAUGUUUGAUCGGCGGAAUCUCACUUCUAAUGGAGUUGGGAUACCUGUCUAUAAGUUUGAGGGUCACAAAGCUGCUGUUCUUUGUGUACAGUGGUCUCCAGACAAGUCAUCUGUGUUUGGAAGUUCGGCAGAAGAUGGUCUCCUAAAUAUUUGGGAUUAUGAGAAGGUGUGGAGCUUCAUCUGUGCAUCUAAAUUUAACACGUAGAUAUCUCCUAGACAUUGCAGACCUUUGAGACAUACCAAAAACUGAAAAAUCAUUAAUAAAAGCAAAAGCAGAAAAGACUGCAUAUACGUGUUCUCCCCAUACUUGGAAACACUUGCACGAAAUUAUCCAUCUCGAUCUUUAUCUAUCAACCUACCUGUGUUGUCAGUCUACAUCAGUGUAUGUUAGUAUGGGUGUGAAUUAUUAUUAUUAUUUUUUCCUUCUAAGAAGCUGGUGAAAGCCUUCGAACUGUGCUUAUACAUUACUUGUUGCAUGUUAUCAUACUGGAGCUAAAUGAUAAUGACACAAUGCACAUGGCUCUUUUUAUAUGUUAUGUGGUAGGUAGUUUUCAGUCUCUAAAUGUAUUGGGUUUGUGUAUUAGAAAAUUAUUUGGAUUCCUAGACCUUCACAUUGAUUGAAAGAAAGAACACGUAAGUGAUGAGGGGGUGUUCCUGGCAACAUUUACAUAAUUGGUUCAUUUUCUUUCCCUCUGUAUUUCGUAUCAACAGUUUUUCCCCUUUCCAUAAACACUGGAAGUAUAGAACAUUGUGGCCUUGUUGAUUUACUGUUCAGCUACCGAUAUAUACUUGUCUUUCCAUUUGUUCAUUUGGUGGCUUUCCAAAACUUACUUCAGAUCUCUUUAGGGUGCUUUCAGCCCUGCAAAUCUAUCUUAUAGCAAAAACUUUUCCUCCUAUUCUGCCUCUUAAAUUUUCAGGUCUGAUACAGCUGCUUUACUUGUUUGGCUUAGAUAUCUGAUUGCUUUGCUCUUUCCUGUUAAGUAUAGAUGGUGUUGGAUAGUUGGAAUGCAUCACAUAACUUUUUCUAAACUUGCAGGUUGGUAAGAAGGUAGAGCGCCCGACUAGAGCCACAACUUCUCCUGCAGGAUUGUUUUUCCAGCAUGCUGGGCACAGGGAUAAAGUUGUUGACUUCCAUUGGAAUGCAUUUGAUCCUUGGACGAUCGUUAGCGUGUCAGAUGACUGUGAUACCACUGGAGGAGGGGGAACAUUACAGAUAUGGCGUAUGAGUGAUUUGAUCUAUAGGCCGGAAGAUGAGGUUUUGGCAGAGCUUGAGAAGUUCAAGUCGCAUGUGAUUGCAUGUGCUUCUAAGCCUUGAGUGAGAGGGAGACAGAACUAGAGAACUUGCUGGAUAAACUAGUUGAUGCAUGGAUUUAAUGUGUUUUGUUUUGUCUUGAGGUUCGUAGGAAUUAGUGGUUGUCAAAUGUAGGCAUAUUACUAGAUUUAUAUAUAUCUUUUCAGAGAUUAGGCCGUAGUCAAAGAUUUACAUGCCUUUCUGCCUUUGCUGGAUGAAUUACAUGCAAAUUAGAAGAUUUCAACUCGUAGAACCCCUUGGCAUUAUUGUGACAAAUCAUCUGCGGAUUUAGAAAAUUUUUGGUUUUUGAGAAUUUAAUUUAAUUUAUACGCAACAGGAAAAUAUGAAGGGCCCGUGCUUGAUGCUGUUUGUUGAGGGAUACUCGGUUUAACUCCAUUUGGUUUUGCCACCUUUGAAAUGAUCGAAUCUAGAGAAUAAGUUCCUUUCAAAAAACCAAAAAAAAAAAUCGACAGAGUGAGCAGCACUCGUAUUCGUAGCCGGCAGUCUGGUACUGGCCGGUUUUGGUUUGGGUAGAAGGGGAAUUUGCACCGGAUUAAGUAUGCUUGCUUUCUC